UGUUUUUAUCGUCGUCGUUGGUGUCGUUGUCGUUGCCGUUGGUGUGUGGCAUGCGACGAUGACUAUGGGAGAAUCCACCGCCGCAGCCGCUCGACACUAUCGCAUUGGAAGCAUUCAAAGCCGCCGUUGCCACCACUACCACUACUACUACUACCAACGCAGCAUUGUGGCGAAUGUUUAUAGAUUUUCAGUCGAAUUUUGUUAUUUCACGUACAAAGUGGCGCGCGCGGGCCGCCGCUAUAACAAAUCAAAUCGAGUGAAAAAAUUGUGCCGAAAAUCGUAGUAACAAUAAAAAAAUUAAAAAAAUAACACACACACAAAAUACAUAUAUCAAAGCAGUGAAUUUACCGUGUGAGCAACGUGUAAGGUGGAGCGUGGAGAAGUGAUAAAGGUGGGCUGCAAACAUACAUACAUAGUAGCUAUCGGAUGCAACUGAAAUGGUGUCGAGCCAUAUUUACAAAGAAGCGAUUAUUAAAUUUUUAUUGCAAAAAUUCAUUAAAUGGUUAUAGUGGAAUUUUAUUUGCAAAUCACUUAACGACAUUUUUUACAUGGAAGCAAUUGUUUUUAUUGCAUAAAUUAUGGAACGGUCUGAAAAAAGUAACCCCCAUAAAGCUGUAAAUGGCGGCUAGUAAAAGCGAAACGGAAGUGAAAUAUUAAAUAAAUUCAAUCGUUGAAUAUUUAUUGGAAUUAUCAGUGGUUAACUGCCGGAUAUUGCCACCUAAGUAAGUUAUAGUGGCAAAAAGUUAGAAAACACAAGAGCGCAAGCUCAGGCAGAAAAACCUGUCAACGCGGACAGUCAUCUACGGUCAGUGUGAAUUGUGGAAAAGCGUUUACUGGCGGCAAUCGAGUUGGCGGCGACUGAGUUGGCAUAGAAAUCGCAAAUUAUGAAGUAAGCGCAAUAAAAAAUGCACUUAAAUUUGAAUAUGAAAGAAACCUCAAGGGAAAGAAGGUGUGAAACAUUUGUGAAAAGUGAUAAAAUAAACAAAUAUAAUACGAGUAUAACGGUAAAGUGUGAGCACUCAUGUUAAAAAAAAAUGCAGCUCAACAAACUUCACGCUAUAAUCGCAUAUUUCCAUAGUCUGCCCUCAUGCACGCCUUCACGGAUACUAUGUAUGUAAUUAUACCGCCAGCGCAAUAAACUUCACAAAAUGGAAUUUUAAAUUUAAAUUAACACAAAUCGAACAGAUAGUUUGUUAAUGUCAUGCUUAAAUCAACCAAUUACCAGAUCAUUACAUGGCCGUGAUCAUAUUUCAAGCGUGUAUUAUGUAAAAACUUUGUACGCAUAUAUGUACGUAUCUACAUUGGCUGUGUAUGUGUGUGCGCGCCCAUGCAGGCUGAUAAUUCAAUUCCAAAUUAAUUACUGCAAAUUAUAGCCAUUCGCACCGAGGUAGCAGCAGCCAACUACUGUAGCGGUUGCACAAAAAUUUGCUAUAAUUGAAAAAAUAACCAAUUAUUGCCGCAAUUUUACUGUAUAGCGUACGCUGUAAGCACAAUGAAAUGGUGCGUUAGCAGUUGUAGCGGUUGUGAUUUCUAUUUCGCGUAAAUUGCAGGGAAAUUAAGCAAAACACCCACUUAGACGAUCAGAUCAGCUAGCAAAGCGCUUUAAGAGCAUAUGAACACUGAUGCAUACAUAUUACAGAAACAGAUGUGUGUACAGCCUUAAACAUAAACGUUCUGUGUAAGCAGCAAAGAUGUGAAAUAAAAAACCGCAAAUAAAAACAUAAUAAACAACACCGCCUAUAACAAGAAAAAUUGUAUGGUGCAGUCUUGUGUAAAAAAUAUUUACAAUUAAACAACAGAAAAAAGGUGAAAUAAUUACAUUGCAAUCGGUAACUAAAACACAUUAAUCAACAGCAGCAGCAGCAAAAAACCGUUACUGUAAAUUUGUUGCAAACAACACGAAGCGCACAAUAAAAGCGUAUUGAAUUUACAACGCAUGCGCCACCAUCAACACUCUAUCAAAAUGCAGCAACCCUUGCAGCUUGACAGGUACACUUGAAAAAGUAAGAGCACUAACUGCUGAUAUAGUGAAUAAAGUGAAUAAAAAAUAAAAUCGCCAAACAAUAGCCAAGCGCACCAAACGACGUUGCACGCAUACACGUGUCUUCAUUGCACGCAUGCGCAAGUUUUGGCACUCGCUCUCAUUCUCUCGUUCUUCUGCACAUCGUUAAUAGCAGUGUAUUUUUUUCAGUGGUCUAUCGUAGGAGCAGAGUUGCCACACAGAUUUUCAACGCUGACACGCUUAGUUAAAACAUUGGAUACCGGCUGAAUAUCUUUUGCUUCGUCCAGAGCUUGCAACCAAAGCCUUCAAAGUGGAUUUAACAAAUUAUAAUAAAUUGCUGCAGUCCAGCAAUCACUAUUUGCGGCCAGAUUACCUGGCCGCACCGAAUGUGCUGUACACCAA